rnacentral:rRNA from 1 species
UACGGAGGGUGCGAGCGUUGUCCGGAAUUACUGGGCGUAAAGGGCGCGUAGGCGGAUAUCUAAGUUGGGGGUGAAAUCCCGGGGCUCAACCUCGGAAUUGCCUUCAAAACUGGGUAUCUUGAGUUCGGGAGAGGUGAGUGGAACUCCGAGUGUAGAGGUGAAAUUCGUAGAUAUUCGGAGGAACACCAGUGGCGAAGGCGGCUCACUGGCUCGACACUGACGCUGAGGUGCGAAAGCGUGGGGAGCAAACAGG